UAAUGUCUGGGCAAACUGCCCUGAUGGAGCGGGGAUAANUACUGNUAACGGUAGCUUAAUACNGCAUAACGUCNCNAGACCAAANAGGGGGACCUUCGGGCCUCUUGCCAUCGGAUGUGCCCAGAUGGGAUUAGCUAGUAGGUGGGGUAACGNCUCACCUAGGCGACGAUCCCNAGCUGGUCUGAGAGGAUGACCAGCCACACUGNAACUGAG
rnacentral:rRNA from 1 species